GCUUGACCUCAAAUCGGGUGAGACUACCCGCUGAACUUAAG
rnacentral:rRNA from 1 species